rnacentral:ncRNA from 2 species
AGAUGCGCGCCAGUUUCAGGUGUCCGCAGCCGUCGUGCUGCGGGUGAAACGGGAAGCCGGUAGGCCCUUUGGGCGAGUCCGGCGCUGCCCCCGCAACGGUAUGCGAGCGAAACAUUCACACAGCCACUGUGCCUGGGCAUGGGAAGGCGAAUGUUUCAUGCCCCUCGCGAGCCCGGAGACCGGCCUGAUCCCUACAUGGCAA